AGUGAACGCUGGCGGUAGGCCUAACACAUGCAAGUCGAACGGCAGCACAGAGGAGCUUGCUCCUUGGGUGGCGAGUGGCGGACGGGUGAGGAAUACAUCGGAAUCUACUCUGUCGUGGGGGAUAACGUAGGGAAACUUACGCUAAUACCGCAUACGACCUACGGGAGAAAGCAGGGGACCUUCGGGCCUUGCGCGAUUGAAUGAGCCGAUGUCGGAUUAGCUAGUUGGCGGGGUAAAGGCCCACCAAGGCGACGAUCCGUAGCUGGUCUGAGAGGAUGAUCAGCCACACUGGAACUGAGACACGGUCCAGACUCCUACGGGGGGCAGCAGUGGGGAAUAUUGGACAAUGGGCGCAAGCCUGAUCCAGCCAUACCGCGUGGGUGAAGAAGGCCUUCGGGUUGUAAAGCCCUUUUGUUGGGAAAGAAAUCCAGCUGGCUAAUACCCGGUUGGUAUGACGGUACCCAAAGAAUAAGCACCGGCUAACUUCGUGCCAGCCGCCGCCGUAA
rnacentral:rRNA from 1 species